GGAGGGGAGCCGAGGCCCGGCGUGGGGAGGCCGGCAGGAAGGGCCUCGAGCCCAGUGCGGACCUUUCUUCAGCCUCUGUGCGACCGAGCCGCGCGCCAGGCUGCUGUGCGAGGAGGACGCGCUGACUCCCUCCGACCUGGGCUCCGAUGGAGCAGAAAUAGCGGGACCUGGACUUGUGGCGCGCCUGGUGCCACAUCUCGGGCUCUGCGAGCGUCCUGGCGCGGGAUCCUGCCGUUUGCAUCCAAGAGAGGGGAGGACAGGGGCAAAAGGAUGCAGGGAGGCUGCUGAUUUCCACUGAAGAGCUAAUUUCCUGUGAGACAUUAACAGUGAUUUAAGAAAAAGAUUCCUGUAACUGUAAUGUCUUACAAUAACAGAAUGCAGGAGAGCACAUAUCAAUGAAGAAAAGACAAAAUGUACUUAUCCAUGAAGCUGAGGUUAAGAAACCAGUGUCUUCAAGAGCCAGGGACAGCACUGGGUCUGUGCAGAGUUGAGAGAUGGUGAUGACAUGCCUACAGCACAGCUGAUGAAAGAGAAGCCAUCUUGCUGCUAUUUGAGAAGCAAGAAGAUAAAAGCUUUCCUAUAAAGAUGAUGGAGCAAAAAGAUAGAAGGGGCCUAGACUCCCUACCUUCACACUUCCUGCUAUAAAAGCAUUGCUAUUAUAAGGUUAAUCUGCAGAAACAGACUUCUAUGUCAUAUGCUUAAAUGCAUCAAAAUUCAUACAAUAUCCAUUAAAUUGGUAAAAGUAUCCAUUUUAAAGGAUUAAUCUGAGGGACC
rnacentral:antisense_RNA from 1 species